rnacentral:rRNA from 1 species
GGAUGCGAUCAUACCAGCACUAAAGCACCGUAUCGCAUCAGAACUCCGAAGUUAAGCGUGCUUGGGCGAGAGUAGUACUAGGAUGGGUGACCUCCUGGGAAGUCCUCGUGUUGCAUUCC